GGCAUUCGUUUGAUUAAAUUAAAACUACGGUNCGUUGGGGAUAGAUGUGCGUCUGAUUAGCUAGUUGGUGAGGUAACUGCUCACCAAGGCGACGAUCAGGUAGGGGGCGUGAGAGCGUGGCCCCCCACACGGGUACUGAGACACAGACCCGACUCCUACGGGAGGCAGCAGUAAGGAAUAUUGGUCAAUGGAGGGAACUCUGAACCAGCCAUGCCGCGUGAAGGAUGACGGCCCUCUGGGUUGUAAACUUCUUUUGGAUGGGGCGAAAAAACGGGAUUUAUCCUGGACUGACGGUACCAUCAGAAUAAGCACCGGCUAACUCCGUG
rnacentral:rRNA from 1 species